GGUUGUCAGGGAAUGAAUUGGUUUGGUUUACAGGUGAGGUUUGCCAGUGUGGUUGUCAGGGAAUGAAUUGGUUUGGUUUACAGGUGAGGUUUGCCAGUGUGGUUGCCAGGGAAUGAAUUGGUUUACAGGUGAGGUUUGCCAGUGUGGUUG